GACGAACGCUGGCGGCGUGCUUAACACAUGCAAGUCGAACGGAAAGGCCCUGCUUUUGUGGGGUGCUCGAGUGGCGAACGGGUGAGUAACACGUGAGUAACCUGCCCUUGACUUUGGGAUAACUUCAGGAAACUGGGGCUAAUACCGGAUAGGAGCUCCUGCUGCAUGGUGGGGGUUGGAACGUUUCGGCGGUUGGGGAUGGACUCGCGGCUUAUCAGCUUGUUGGUGGGGUAGUGGCUUACCAAGGCUUUGACGGGUAGCCGGCCUGAGAGGGUGAACGGCCACAUUGGGACUGAGAUACGGCCCAGACUCCUACGGGAGGCAGCAGUGGGGAAUAUUGCACAAUGGGCGGAAGCCUGAUGCAGCAACGCCGCGUGCGGGAUGACGGCCUUCGGGUUGUAAACCGCUUUCGCCUGUGACGAAGCGUGAGUGACGGUAAUGGGUAAAGAAGCACCGGCUAACUACGUG
rnacentral:rRNA from 1 species